rnacentral:lncRNA from 1 species
GCCCCACCCACUAAAGCAUUGAUCUAAUCCAGCUCAGCUGGGGCAGACAGGCUGGUCUAGAGACUGGCCCCCCCCAACAGCAAGCCCUCAGGCAACUUGUGGGCCCACAUAGGUGGGGUACCUGGAACCUCUGCAGCCAGACACCACUUGGACUAUGGCUGGAGGCUAGACAGCAUCAGCAUUGGAUGGAGAACAGCUGGAGUCCAGUGGAUCUCAGCCAUAGAUGCUCAGGAAGCACCUGGAGAGAGACCUCGCAACCCCUGACCCCAGUGAUGCCACUCCCACCCCCUAGAGAAGACUUAACAAGAAGCAAGAGGCUUGGUGAAUGCUCCUUGAUACAGCCGUCAGCAGUCAGCCAAAAAAAUUCUACAGAGAGACCUAUCAGCUGUAAGGAGAUUCAAACGUCAAGGAGCAAGGAUAGAAGCUGGGAAAUCCAUCAGCAGACCAUUGCAAAAGUUCAGACAAAAAAAGAAUGGUGGAUGAGUUUAAGGUGGCACUAAUGGGGGUAAGGAAAAUCCAUGGGAAAUGUUGUCGCAUUGAUGAUAUUGCAAACAGAAUUUGCUGAUGAACUGAAUAUGUUAAGGAGAUGAGUCAAAGAGGAUGUCAAGGAUUUUGGCCGGACGUCUUUGAAGAAUGCAUUUGUUUCUUAUUGAGAUUCAGAAGUUUGAGGGAGAAGCAGCUAUGGAAGAAAUUAGGAGCUAAGGUUUGGAAAUAUUAAUUUUGAGUUACGUAAGUAUCCAAACAGAGAUGUGCAGCAGGCAGUUGGAUACAACAUUCAAAACUGGGGCCCAGAAGAGGAGUCAGAACUGGAGACAAGAUGUGUGAUUAGCAGGCUGUAGAUAGUGUUUAAAGCCAUUGGAUUAAAU